AGCUCAGACCGCAUUAAGAUAAAAAACAAAAAGAUUUCUUACAUCAACAAUGAGCCUCACAUCCCUAAUAUAGAUAUCAAAAACCACCAGUGGCGUGUUUUCACUGCAGGAAGAAAAGAAUGGCGAGCCGGAGAUAAAGGAAGUGAUGAAGAAAGUUCUACAAAAGUGAGAAAUGUUUUCUCACCUCAUGUCCACACGGAGCGGGUGAUGUUUUUUAUCCUUCUGGGACAGUAGCCAUUAUGAUGUCCUGCGCAGGAGCGUCUGACUUCACUUACAUAAUCUUGGAGGACAAGGACGUGGCGCCCGGCAUCAAAGGCAUUUUCACAAAUAAAGUCUACUCCACAUGCUACCAUCCCAGUGGAAUGAUAUGGUAAUUGUUCCUCCAUAAUAACUGCCAUUAUACUCAUUUAAACAAAAAGAAAUCGGGCCUUUAAGUAAUGGCUC